rnacentral:rRNA from 1 species
CGGGAGGUAGUGACGAAAAAUAACGAUGCGGGACUCUUCCGAGGCCUCGCAAUCGGAAUGAGUUCAAUUUAAAAAAAUGGACGAGGAUCCAUUGGAGGGCAAGUCUGGUGCCAGCAGCCGCGGUAACUCCAGCUCCAAUAGCGUAUAUUAAAGUUGCUGCGGUUAAAAAGCUCGUAGUUGGAUUUCUGAUGCGAACCGGGAGCCCACCCGAGGCUCGCCCUCGUCUCCGGACGGGAGCGGCGCCUAAGGGGUCUAAGGCGUCUCUCCCGCUUUCUCGUUCGGCGGCCGCGGCGGCAAGAGGUCGAGGGGGGUCGGUCGCGAGUAGUCACUGCUCGUUCCCUUCUCUCGUCUCCUUCUCUCAUCCGUCGUCUCCCCGGAAGGGUUCGGUCGCCAGUGAAGCGCGAGUUCCGGGAAUGAAAAAGGGUAGUGGUAGCGGCACUAAAAGUAGAAGUACGAAUGCAACCAGCGGCGGGGGAAGGGCGUGCUGCAGCCGCCUCCAGUAGCGCGUCGUCUCCUCCUCGUUGGAAAAAGGAAGGAAGUCGUUUCAUCAAAAGCUUUCUUUCGAUCACUCGGUCGGCCCUCCGAGGUCGGCGGCAGGCAAAGGCGUCAGCAAGCGGCAGUUUCUCUGCGCUCCUG